GCCCGCCUAGCUCAAUCGGAUAGAGCGUCAGACUUUUACAGCUCUGUUUCAGGUGGGACGGGUUAUCUGAAGGCUGCGAGUUCGACCCUCGCGGUGGGCU